GUGGGGAAUUUUGGACAAUGGGCGCAAGCCUGAUCCAGCAAUGCCGCGUGCAGGAAGAAGGCCUUCGGGUUGUAAACUGCUUUUGUACGGAACGAAACGGUCCUGGCUAAUACCUGGGGCUAAUGACGGUACCGUAAGAAUAAGCACCGGCUAACUACGUGCCAGCAGCCGCGGUAAUACGUAGGGUGCGAGCGUUAAUCGGAAUUACUGGGCGUAAAGCGUGCGCAGGCGGUGCUGUAAGACAGGCGUGAAAUCCCCGGGCUCAACCUGGGAAUUGCGCUUGUGACUGCAGUGCUGGAGUGCGGCAGAGGGGGAUGGAAUUCCGCGUGUAGCAGUGAAAUGCGUAGAUAUGCGGAGGAACACCGAUGGCGAAGGCAAUCCCCUGGGCCUGCACUGACGCUCAUGCACGAAAGCGUGGGGAGCAAACAGGAUUAGAAACCCGGGUAGUCC
rnacentral:rRNA from 1 species